CUUUAACAGCUCCGGCCUGCUACACACCCACGGCCCGGGCGUAAGUGCAAUAAACGCAGUUUUAUGGCUGCGGAUCUAGGAAGCAGGAAGGUGCAAUAGAAACCUGAAACCAGAGGUUAGUAAAAGGGAAACAGAAGUAAAGUGACAAAAGGGGGGAAGGCAUGCGGGCUUCCAUCGGCCUUUGCUACGGGCACAGCCCCGGGCUGCGGCUGCCGGUGCCGCUCUCAUCCCGCACACGGCGCGGUGCCCACGCGGAUCGGACAGCACACAGCAUACAGCACACAGCCCCGCUCCUCCCACCCCGCUCGGAUGGAAAAGCCGUGCAAAGACGUUCCCCAAACCGAAUACCUGGCAAGUUACUAAGCAACAAGUGGCCGCGGGGACCGACAAACGCAAGCCUUACAUAAGGAAGGAGACGGAGGCGCUCCCUUACCUUCCCGACGUGCUCCGACGGCAGCGCCCGCCCGGCCCCGCGCAGCCCGGGGCUCCCGCGGCACUCACUGCAGCCGGCGCGGAGCGGAGCGGAGGUGCGGAGCUCACCGCCCCCGAGCGCCGCCAGGCCCCUCCCCGGCACGGCGCCCCGCCGCCGGCUCCACCUCCCCAGGUGCCUCCUUCCCACCGCAGCCGGGGACGGAGCGCAGAGGGACGCGGCUCCAUCCGGGCAGAGCUCCUGGCGGCUCCGAUCGCGUCCCCUCCCCUCCCCACCUCCGUUAUCGGGACGCGAUAACGUCGGAUCUGCCCACAGCUUUCCCAUUCCUCGCACGGAGCUAAACUGCGCUUCAUGCCCCGAAGGGUACAGAGAACACCGCGCUAAGGUCAAUAAACCCAGCCGGGUUGAGCCCCGCAGCCCCUCUUCUCUCCAGUGAAUGGCAUUACCUGCAUCUGCUUGAGGAAUAAACACUGCUGUGCUCUGCUGAGCCACGCUGACCCCCAGCGCCUCAGCUCACACACGGCUGCAGCGCACUCCAUCAAUCCAUCUCAGAACCGUGGGCUCACGGCUCACUGGGUCAGUUGGGCAGCCUCAGGGUCAGGAGAUUAAAGAGCAAUCUGCUUCUAUGUACGCAGACACGCUGACCGUCAGGAGCCAACCGUGACCGCUGGAAUCCGGCUCUGUGUGUGCCCAGGUACAACCACUGCACAUACAGAAGCCACAUCCUGCUACCAGGAACGUUCUUCCUAUCAAACCCACUGAUAACCAUCACUACAAAUCCCAGCACAAACAGCAAAUGGAUGCAACAGAAGCAACGCUAUCCAAAAUGCACAGGCAGAAGGCACACACAGCAAUUCAGAACAGAAGAUCAGCCCGCACAGGGCUGCCGAGCAGUCAUACAGAUGCACCAAACUGCCAGGAUGAUGUCUGCUUCUUUUGUUUUUU
rnacentral:lncRNA from 1 species